GACGAACGCUGGCGGCGUGCCUAAUACAUGCAAGUCGAACUCAGUUGGGACGGGUGAGUAACACGUGGGUAACCUCCCAUCAGAGGGGAUAACACUUGUAAACAGGUGCUAAACCGAUACUGGUGGAUUGACCCGCGGUGCAUUAGCUAUUUGGUGAGGUUACGGCUCACCAAGGCCACGAUGCAUAUCCGCACUGAGAGGGUUGUCGGCCACACGUGGACUGAGACACGGCCCAGACUCCUACGGGAGGCAGCAGUAGGGUAGCUUCGGUAAUGGACGAAAGUCGGACCGAGCAACGCCGCGUGAGUGAAGCAGGUUUUCGGAGCGUAAAACUCUGGUGUUAGAGAAGCGGUAUCUAACCAGAAAGCCACUGCUAACUACGUGCCAGCAGCCGCGGUAAUAC
rnacentral:rRNA from 1 species